rnacentral:rRNA from 1 species
UACGUAGGGUGCGAGCGUUGUCCGGAAUUAUUGGGCGUAAAGAGCUCGUAGGCGGUCUGUCGCGUCUGCUGUGAAAACUCAGGGCUUAACCCUGAGCUUGCAGUGGGUACGGGCAGACUAGAGUGCGGUAGGGGAGACUGGAAUUCCUGGUGUAGCGGUGAAAUGCGCAGAUAUCAGGAGGAACACCGGUGGCGAGGGCGGGUCUCUGGGCCGUAACUGACGCUGGAGGAGCGAAAGCAUUGGGGAGCGAACAGG